AUUUGGCAGUGGCUCAUGAGGAAACUCAAAGUUUCUGUUAAUUCGGAUGGGGUUUGUUUACUUUAUUGUAGACUUCAACUGAGACCAGAGAGGGGACAUGGGAAAGAACAGGUGCAUCCAUUAUGUAUCCCAGUUCUCUUGGCUGGCACUGCAAUCCUUUCAUCCCUGGAUGCUAUGCGCUCUGUAGGCUCAGUGGAUGACCACACAGAGGGAGCAGCUCUGCUGGCCACGGGGGCUGAAACAGGUGAAAAUGGUGCAGCUGCUCGGUUUUGAACCCCAGAAGAGAAGGGCUUAGCUGUUUUAUUCAAAGAUGCUGCUUUUUGAGCUUCAGAGGGCUGAAAAGAGAGACUGAAGAGCUUACUUUCUGGAAGUUCUCUGAUGUGGUGGCUUCUGUUCGUUCCUCUGUGUGAACUGUGUGUGAUUUCAUCUCCUCCUGCUCAGCUGUGAUCUGAUCCAUUCUCUGCCUCCUCUUGGCAAACAUGAGGGCCCCUUUACCUGUGCUCUCUGGAAGCGUCUGCAUCUCCUCUCCACUUUUUGUCUUCUUUUCAACCUCAGGUAAACCACUAUCCCAGUCAAAAGUCACAA